rnacentral:rRNA from 1 species
UACAGAGGGUGCGAGCGUUAAUCGGAAUUACUGGGCGUAAAGCGCGCGUAGGCGGCUUUGCAAGCCGGAUGUGAAAUCCCCGGGCUUAACCUGGGAACUGCAUUCGGGACUGCAUUGCUAGAGUAUGGGAGAGGGAAGUGGAAUUUCAGGUGUAGCGGUGAAAUGCGUAGAUAUCUGAAGGAACAUCAGUGGCGAAAGCGACUUCCUGGACCAAUACUGACGCUCAGGCACGAAAGUGUGGGGAUCAAACAGG